CCUACGGGAGGCUGCAGUGAGGAAUAUUGGUCAAUGGGCGCGAGCCUGAACCAGCCAAGUAGCGUGAAGGAUGACUGCCCUACGGGUUGUAAACUUCUUUUAUAAAGGAAUAAAGUGAGGCACGUGUGCCUUUUUGUAUGUACUUUAUGAAUAAGGAUCGGCUAACUCCGUGCCAGCAGCCGCGGUAAUACGGAGGAUCCGAGCGUUAUCCGGAUUUAUUGGGUUUAAAGGGUGCGUAGACGGGAAAACAAGUUAGUUGUGAAAUCCCUCGGCUUAACUGAGGAACUGCAACUAAAACUAUUUUUCUUGAGUGCAGGAGAGGUAAGUGGAAUUCCUAGUGUAGCGGUGAAAUGCGUAGAUAUUAGGAGGAACACCAGUGGCGAAGGCAGUUCACUGGACUGCAACUGACACUGAGGCUCGAAAGUGUGGGUAUCAAACAGGAUUAGAUACCCCUGUAGUC
rnacentral:rRNA from 1 species